rnacentral:lncRNA from 1 species
GAGCUUGAAUGCAAGAUAUGAGACAUGGAUGUUGGGGCUCCCUAAUCCCUUUGAAUUAUUAAAAGUCACUAUCUUUUCAUGAUAAUCUAUAUUGGCAUGGUAUACUACCAACCAAUACAUUCCUAAUAUGACAUCAAAAUCAUGCAUGUCUAGGAGUAUGAGAUCUACUGGUAACUCUCUAUUUUCAAUCUCUACAAUGCAUGCUCGACAGACUAUACUAGUGAUUUCUAAAGGUGACUAUUCAAUGUUCAUAUGCUAAGCAAACUCAUGUGAUGUAAAAGAGUGUGUAGAUCCUGGAUCUAUUAAAACUUUAGCCAAGGUACCAAAGAUAGUGAGCAUACCUUGGAU